GUGGUGUUUAAGCCCUCUCUUUGGUGAUCUUCCAUCACCUCAUUAAUCAUCAUACAUCCAUUUUCAAACCAUUGCACGUUCCAUGUACCCUCCAAAGUGGGCAAAGACUGGUAAACAUCACAUAACUUCGAAUCACAAGGAUGGAUUUGCUACCAUCUAUAUUUGUGAAAGAUUCUACCCUUGUUAAGCCAUACAGAACUUUAGUUAUCAAGUUUGAUAAUUUUCUUCUCCAUCUUUUACCUCAAAACCUCUGUUAGAGCCUAUAGAUUAAUUAACUAUGCAUUCAUAAUAACAUUUAUUGCUAUAUGUCACUUAUGGGUGAUAAGCUAGUUUUUUUAGUAAAUUAUAUCGAAGUCGAAGAGCUCUGUCGAAGUUGAAGAAUUUAAUCGAAAUAUGUUAGUAUGUUAUUUAAGUUAGCAUGCCGAAUUGUGUCAGUUUGAUGGGUCAAUUAUUUAGUAUAUUAGUUGAAAGUUAGGGUUUAGUUUUCUUAUAAAUAACAUACUAGUCAUCAAUCCUUGAUAAUCCUAAUCAAAAAGAGAAAGUGGUGUGAUUGAAAUUCAA